GUUUGGGUGGUAUAGUUGGUUAUCACGCUAGUCUCACACACUAGAGGUUUCUGGUUUGAACCCAGGCUCACACA